UACGAAGGUCCCCGAGCGUUGUUCGGAAUCACUGGGCGUAAAGGGAGCGUAGGCGGGCGCGGUAAGUCAGAUGUGAAAUCCCGGGGCUCAACCCCGGAACUGCAUCCGAUACUGCCGUGCUAGAGGAUUGGAGAGUAGCUGGAAUUCUUGGUGUAGCAGUGAAAUGCGUGGAGAUCAAGAGGAACACUCGUGGCGAAAGCGAGCUACUGGACAAUAU
rnacentral:rRNA from 1 species